rnacentral:lncRNA from 1 species
ACUAUGCCAAGGAUGGGUUGGGAACUGAGUUUCUGGUCUUAGGUACACAUGCCUGGUCCAAUGCAUUGGAGCAUCAGGAGCUCAGAGGCGGACACUGAAUCAGUACCUGAACAAUGACAUGGAAGAACCAGUGUGUCACAGAGCCCAGAGGAAAGGCCUUGGGAUAUGACUGGAGCCAACAACAAAGCACUAGAGAAGAUGAGGAAAGUCCUAGCCUGCAAAUUUCUUAUGGAUGACUUCCUGGAACCAGAAGCCAAAGGAGGGACAAGAUUGAAGCACUCUGGACACUAG